rnacentral:rRNA from 1 species
AUUGAACGCUGGCGGCAGGCCUAACACAUGCAAGUCGAACGGUAACAGGAAGAAGCUUGCUUCUUUGCUGACGAGUGGCGGACGGGUGAGUAAUGUCUGGGAAACUGCCUGAUGGAGGGGGAUAACUACUGGAAACGGUAGCUAAUACCGCAUAACGCCGCAAAACCAAAGAGGGGGACCUUCGGGCCUCUUGCCAUCGGAUGUGCCCAGAUGGGAUUAGCUAGUAGGUAGGGUAACGGCUCACCUAGGCGACGAUCCCUAGCUGGUCUGAGAGGAUGACCAGCCACACUGGAACUGAGACACGGUCCAGACUCCUACGGGAGGCAGCAGUGGGGAAUAUUGCACAAUGGGCGCAAGCCUGAUGCAGCCAUGCCGCGUGUAUGAAGAAGGCCUUCGGGUUGUAAAGUACUUUCAGCGGGGAGGAAGGGAGUAAAGUUAAUACCUUUGCUCAUUGACGUUACCCGCAGAAGAAGCACCGGCUAACUCCGUG